rnacentral:rRNA from 1 species
AACGAACGCUGGCGGCAUGCCUAACACAUGCAAGUCGAACGCCCCGCAAGGGGAGUGGCGAACGGGUGAGUAACGCGUGGGAACCUACCCAGCAGUUAGGGAUAACCGCGGGAAACUGCGGCUAAUACCGAAUACGUCCUAAGGGAGAAAGAUUUAUCGCUGUCGGAGGGGCCCGCGUCGGAUUAGCUAGUUGGUGAGGUAACGGCUCACCAAGGCAUCGAUCCGUAGCUGGUCUGAGAGGAUGAUCAGCCACACUGGGACUUAGACACGGCCCAGACUCCUACGGGAGGCAGCAGUGGGGAAUAUUGGACAAUGGGGGCAACCCUGAUCCAGCAAUGCCGCGUGAGUGAUGAAGGCCUUAGGGUUGUAAAGCUCUUUUGCCGGGGACGAUGAUGACGGUACCCGGAGAAUAAGCCCCGGCUAACUUCGUGCCAGCCGCCGCGGUAAUAC